GCACUGACUUUGGUAGUACAUAUACUAAAAUUGAAAUAGUACACAGAUUAGCAUGCCCACUAUGUAAGGACGACAUGCACAUCUAUGAAGUUUUUGGCAUGUUU
rnacentral:snRNA from 1 species